rnacentral:rRNA from 1 species
AUUGAACGCUGGCGGCAGGCCUAACACAUGCAAGUCGAACGAGUGGCGGACGGGUGAGUAAUGUCUAGGAAACUGCCUGAUGGAGGGGGAUAACUACUGGAAACGGUAGCUAAUACCGCAUCCAAUCAGAUGUGACCAGAUGGGAUUAGUUUGUUGGUGGGGUAACGGCUCACCAAGGUGACGAUCCAUAGCUGGUCUGAGAGGAUGACGAGCAACUGUGGAAAUAGGACAAUGUCGAUAAUCCGACGUGAGGCAGCGUUGGGAAAGAUUGCACAAGGGGCGCGAGGCUGAUGCAGCCAGGCCGCGUGUAUGAAGAAGGCCUUCGGGUUGUAGAGGACUUUCAUCGGGGAAGCGUUACCCGCAGAAGAAGCACCGGCUAACUCCGUGCCAGCAGCCGCGGUAAUUC